GUUAAAGUAUAAAUAUUGAAAUAAAUUCUAGUCUUGCAUUCCAUUUCUUUUACGAUUUUGAAUAUUUCACAACACAAAAACAUGCAGACUAAAGCACUUGUAUUAGUCCUGGUUAUAGCCAUUGCAAUGGUGUCAACAGUGAGAGCCGGUGAAUGUAAGAUGAUUUGCAACGAUGAGGUUAGAAUCUGCAAGUUGGAGUUUUGUUUAAGCCACAGCGACAAAUCUUGUAAAAAGAAGUGCAAUAAGAUGAAGAAGGACUGCAUGGCGCUGUGCAAAUAUGAUUUUAAACGUAAUGUUCAUGCACCUUAUGAGGUCGAAGAAGAUCUUGACGAUGAAGAUAACGAUGAAUAGACUGUUCAUCAAAACAUUCGUUAAUACAUUUUAUGUUUAUCGUAUGUAAUAAAUCAUUCUGUAAAUCA